rnacentral:piRNA from 2 species
UCACUCAGUAAGUGCUAGCUAUU